rnacentral:rRNA from 1 species
AUACCCUAUUAUUUAAGAGCUAAAUACUGUAAGUAUAUAAUAAUUACGAAAGCAAAAAAUUAUGGCGGUAUUUUAAGCUUUUCAGAGGAAUUUGCUCUUUAAUGGAUAAAACACCUAAAUCUUACUUAAAUUUGUUAAAUCAACUUGUAUACCACUAUUAAAACAAUUAUUAACUCUAAUUGUUAAUAUUUAAAACAUAAAUUAAUUUAAAUUAAGUCAAGGUGCAGUAAAAAUUUAAGAAUGAAGUGAAUUACAUUACUUUUAAGGGAAAUAAAAUUAAAUAAAGUUUAGGAUUUGAAAGUAAAAUUAAAAUAGAAUGUUAAUUUGAAUUAAGCUCUAAAAUAUGUACAUAUCGCCCGUC